GGCUGCGUGCAGAAAUGUACAUGUUGAUAAGAAGUGAGGCGUGAGGAGGGGGCAAGAAGCUUCUUGCUUUUAUGGCUCGUGUGAUCCGUUUUAAUUUUGAAAGUUCUUUUUAUGGCAACAGGUACAGUUAAGUGGUUCAAUGAUUCCAAAGGUUUUGGCUUCAUCACUCCAGAUGACGGCGGCGAGGAUUUGUUCGCUCACUUCUCCGCAAUCAACAUGAACGGUUUCAAGACCCUCAAAGAAGGUCAAAAAGUUCAAUUCGAAGUCACGCAAGGCCCUAAAGGCAAGCAAGCUUCCAACAUCCAAUCCGCUUAAUUUUUUAAGCAGCAGAUGUGAAAAACCUCGCACCGCGAGGUUUUUUUU
rnacentral:other from 1 species